UUGAGACGGGGAGAGAGACAGCCGAGACCGGAAGAGGGCGGCAAGGAAGUGAGACAGGACGAGAGACGGGGAGGAGGGGAAGUGAGACGGGGGAGGAGGGGGAGUGAGACAGGAGGAGCUGUCUCACAGGCAGGAGGAGCUGUCUCCCUGUAUGACUUCCCCUCCUCCCCGUCAUACAGGGCGGAGGGGAAGUGAGACAGGUUGGAGGGGAAGUGAGACAUGGAAGGGAGGUGAGACAGGGAGGCGCCGAGGCUGAUCUCACAGUGUUGCUGUACUCUGCGGAGGUGGCGCUCUCCAGGACGGUGUGAGCCCUCUGGAUGAACGGCUGCAGGCGCUCCUCCACCCUGCGGAGCUCCGCCAGCAUCUGGAGCAGCUCCACUGGGCUGGGGUGGCUGCCACACACACACACACACACACACACACACACACACACACACACACACACACACACACACACACACACACACACACACACACACACACACACACACACACACACACACACACACACACACACACACACACA